rnacentral:rRNA from 1 species
UACGUAGUGGGCAAGCGUUAUCCGGAUUUACUGGGUGUAAAGGGAGCGUAGACGGCUGUGCAAGUCUGAAGUGAAAGGCAUGGGCUCAACCUGUGGACUGCUUUGGAAACUGUGCAGCUAGAGUGUCGGAGAGGUAAGUGGAAUUCCUAGUGUAGCGGUGAAAUGCGUAGAUAUUAGGAGGAACACCAGUGGCGAAGGCGGCUUACUGGACGAUGACUGACGUUGAGGCUCGAAAGCGUGGGGAGCAAACAGG